AUUCUGAUGUCUUACGGACCACCUGUGGUCCACGGCACACUGUGGGAACCACUGGUUUAGAGAAUGCCGAACUCUAGAAGUCGUUCCGAAUUUCGUUUUUGGAUCUCUACCUAUUAGCGAAAAAGUUUGGUAUAACUUGAAAACUACCGGCCCUAGGUCAGGUCAGGUAUUUGCACAGCAGCACUUGGUGGAACCAUUAAUCAGAAUCGACGCAGACGUCGUCGACAUUGUCCUUUCACAGUGAUAUUUUCACGCUUUUCAUAAUUUGACAGUUUUAUUACACGCUGUUGGCUGAUAAAUAAGCGCAAUUUAAAUUCAAUUACCCCGUACUUUAAAUAAAUAUUUGCCUUAAGAAUUAA